rnacentral:lncRNA from 1 species
GUUUUUUUUUUUUUUUUUUUAAAGAGAGAAUUUUUUAGUAUUUAUUUUUCAGUUUUCGGUGGACACAACGUCUUUAUUUUAUUUUUAUGUGGUGCUGAGGAUCGAACCUAGCACCCCGCACAUGCCAGGUGAGCACAUUACCACAUGAGCCACAUCCUCAGCAAGUUUUGAGUUUUGAAGUUCAGUGUGUAUGUAUCAAUUCAUCCUUAUAUGAAUUGUACGUCUGGUGUCAAGCAUGUGGAUAUUCAAGUGCUUGUGUACCUUUUGUUAAAGGUGGUUCUUUCCACGACCAAAUUGCUUUUGCAUAUUUUUCAAAAUCAGUUGGGUAUAGUUUUGUGGGUGCAUUCCAAGUUUUUUUCUCUUCCAUUGGUCAUGUGUCUGUCCCUCUAUGGUUCUGAUCACUAUAGCUAUGUGUUAAGGCUUGAGGUCAGGUAGCCUGAUUGCUCCUGCUUUAUUCUUAUUUUUCAAAACUGUUUAGCUAUGAUAGUACUUUUACCCUUCCAUAUAAUCUUAAAAUAAUCUACAAAACUUUUUUUUUUUUUUAGGGGAUUGGGGGUACCAGGGAUUGAACCCAGGGGCACUUAACCACUGAGCAACAUCCUCAGCCCUUUUUUUUAUUUUGAGAUAGGAUCUUGCUGAGUUGCUGAGGCUGGCUUUGAACUUUCAAUCCUCCUGCCUCAGCCUCCUGAGUCACUGGGAUUACGAGCAUGGGCCACUGUGCCUGGUUUCUACAAAACUCAAUAUUUAUUUAUUUAUGUAUCUUUAGUUUUAGGUGGAUACAUUAGUUUGUUUUUAUGUGGUGCUGAGGAUCAAACCCAGUGCCUCAUGCAUGCCAGGCGAGCACUCUACCACUGAGCCACCACCUGAGCCCCUCUACAAAACUUUUGAUGGCACUUUGUUCAGAAUUGAAUUAAGUCUGUAUAUCAACUUAAGGAGGAUUGACACCUUUACCAGGUGGAUCUUCCAACCCAUGAAUGGGCUGUUGAGUCAGCUAUUUAUUGAGCUCUUCUUUGAUUUUUCACCAGCAUUAUAUAGUUUUAUGCUUACAAAUCCUAGAU